rnacentral:piRNA from 1 species
UAUAAGGAGCUCUUGGAAGGA